rnacentral:rRNA from 1 species
GGGUUCCUACGGGGGGCAGCAGUGGGGAAUAUUGCACAAUGGGCGAAAGCCUGAUGCAGCAACGCCGCGUGAAGGAAGACGGUUUUCGGAUUGUAAACUUCUGUCCUUAGUGAAGAAUAAUGACGGUAACUAAGGAGCAAGCCACGGCUCACUACGUGCCAGCAGCCGCGGUAAUACGUAGGUGGCAAGCGUUGUCCGGAAUUACUGGGUGUAAAGGGAGCGUAGGCGGGAAG